GGAUAGUCCAGACUCCAGAAGCCCAGGCCAGCCAAAGUAACUCCCUACUCCCGACACUUUGUCUUCAUCUCCGUCAAUUUCAGAUCCAGCCUCAAUUUCCUGAAGGAAUAACUCAUUUCCCAAUCUUCCAUUCUCGGAUUCUCCCAAGCCACAAUCUCUUCAGAAAUCAUUCCUCCGGUGCAUGGCCAUUUCUUAAUUUCCUCUUCAACCUCUUGAUUCAAGCAAAUUCUGGUUCAUGCUUCCACUCAUCGACUGAUCGACUAUGGGCUAUUGAGCUAUUCAAAGUUUCGAACUGGAGAAUCGUCUCUCACAGUCUCACUCUCUCCUCCUCCACCAGUGCCGCCUGCGGGUCUAAUUCUAGCUCCUCUCUCGGUGGUGUUGAGAGGGUUGGUGGGCUGGCGCUGGUUAGGUCCGACAGUUGCUUCCCUACUCUCAAUAGCUGAGUUGUUUUAUGGAGAGGUGUUGGCUGAUUUGCACAAGAAAUAUGGCUCUGUUGUGAAGUUGUGGUUGGGACCAACUCAGCUUUUAGUGUCAAUAAAAGAUCCAACUCUAAUCAGAGACAUGCUACUAAAGGCUGCAAAUAAGUUGCCUAUGACUGGGAGGGCAUUCCAUUUGGCCUCUGGAAGCUCAAGCCUUUGGAGUCCCAUAUAUCAGUGUAGCCACUUGGCACGGGCAAUCCUAGGCAAAGCUCAUAGUAGCCUCACUUCCAUAUGUAGCAUACUCAUAAAUGGAUCCAUAAAGGAGAGAGCUGAUUCAGUAGAUGAUGGAAGACAGUCAUAAUCUUUUAGAGAAUACUGGGUGUAGGUCAUUUAUCGAAUGAGAUAGAUUUAGAGCACCCCUUUGGGUGUGGUAUGUUCUGAGUUUAGUGAUUAUUCCUUUAGCACUACUUUUUAUGAUUGGAAUGCUGUUAUUAUUUGGAUUACUCCUCUGUACUGGUUUAUUGUAAUCUAUGGUGUUUCGAGAUUAGACUAUUGUGGUAUGCCACUUAUGUGAUUUAUACUGGCACUAAUCUACAACGUUUUUCAUCAA